rnacentral:rRNA from 1 species
AGUGAACGCUGGCGGUAGGCCUAACACAUGCAAGUCGAACGGCAGCACAGUAAGAGCUUGCUCUUACGGGUGGCGAGUGGCGGACGGGUGAGGAAUACAUCGGAAUCUACUUUUUCGUGGGGGAUAACGUAGGGAAACUUACGCUAAUACCGCAUACGACCUACGGGUGAAAGCAGGGGAUCUUCGGACCUUGCGCGAUUGAAUGAGCCGAUGUCGGAUUAGCUAGUUGGCGGGGUAAAGGCCCACCAAGGCGACGAUCCGUAGCUGGUCUGAGAGGAUGAGGAGGCACACGUGAACUGAGGAAGGAUACGGACGCAUACGGGAGGCAGCAGUGGGGGAGGUUCGACGAUGGGCGGAGGUCUGAUGCAGCCAUGCCGCGUGAGUGAAGAGGGCCUUCGGGUUGUAAAGCUCUUUUGUUGGGAAAGAAAAAAAACGGGCGAAUAACCCGCUGGUCGGACGGUGCCGAAAGAGAAAGCAGGGGCUAACUUCGUG